AUUGAACGCUGGCGGUAUGCUUAACACAUGCAAGUCGAACGGCAGCAUGGUCUAGCUUGCUAGACUGAUGGCGAGUGGCGGACGGGUGAGUAACGCGUAGGAAUAUGCCUUGAAGAGUGGGACAACUUGGGGAAACUCAAGCUAAUACCGCAUGUACUCGAGAGAGUAAAGCUGGGGACCUUUAGGCCUGGCGCUUUAAGAUUAGCCUGCGUCCGAUUAGCUAGUUGGUAGGGUAAAGGCCUACCAAGGCGACGAUCGGUAGCUGGUCUGAGAGGAUGAUGAGCCACACUGGAACUGAGAGACGGUCCAGACUCCUACGGGAGGCGGCAGUGGGGAAUAUUGGACAAUGGGGGGAACCCCGAUCCAGCAAUGCCGCGUGUGUGAAGAAGGCCUGAGGGUUGUAAAGCACUUUCAGUGGGGAGGAGGUUUGGAAGGUUAAGAGCUAUUCAAAUGGACGUUACCCACAGAAGAAGCACCGGCUAACUCCGUGCCAGCCGCCGCCGUAA
rnacentral:rRNA from 1 species